AGAAAAUGCCUGCUCUAGUGACUUCCCGUGCAUACGACCGGGCUCCGUUUGGGAUUCGAGGACUUGGAGGCGGGGACAGUGAGCGGCGGCGGCGACGCGACAUGGAGUUCCUCAUGCAGCCGAUACGCGGAUCCACUUUCCUCGAUGAGGUAGGAGAAAGCAUGGUGCCCCCAGCUGUGCUUUCAGCGCCGGAGGGAGCUGACAUGGUCGUGGAGCACCUGAUGCUGGAGCAGACAGCGGUGGAGCCAGAACAUGCGGUGGGCAGCGCGGAUCUUGUCGCCCAAAGAGGCGGUGGCGCCGAGGGGAGAGAGCUCUCGGCCAACAUCGGAACUGUCUACUCGGAAGAUGAAUCCUCGGGAACCUGAAUGGAACAAAAGGCUUAGGUUGGAGGCUACUGCACCGAGUAGAACACCUUGCCAAAACCAAGUCAGUGCAUUUGAGAAGGCUGUCAGGAAUUAUUUGAAGAACCUGGCUGAGAAUGUGUGUGGUUACAUCUGUAAUUGGUACUACUUUUGAUUCGGUAGGAGAGGCGUACGACUUCUACAAUCUGUAUUCAUGGGAGAAGGGCUUUGGCAUUUGAUAUGAGAAGAGCAGGCUAAAUGUGGAGAGGAUAAAAUGCAUGAAGGAAAUCAUCUGCGGUUGCUCGGUGAGUAUGCAUUUAGUGGUACUGAUUGAAUGUAGUGAUUACAUUAAAAUUUCCAGAAUGGUUAGGAGACAGAAGUUGAUUGAAAGUGUAAACAUGUCUAUAGGGCAAAGCCAGUGUCAAGAACACAAGGUCUUGCCGCUGAUGUCCUGCACUGAUAAGGCUUCUAAAUGCAGAGGACAACAGUUGGUAUAUUGCAGAGCAUAGAGAGACUCAUAACCACCCGCUUUCACCUAAUUUUGGUGAGACAAUCCAUUGGCCAUCGCACAAAAAAAUAGAUGUUUACACCAAGGAUCUUGUGAAACGGCUUAGGCAGAACAAUGUGAACUUCGCAAAGGGGUACAGUAUCAUUGGAGGUUUCUUUGGGUCGAUGGAAAAUGUGCCAGUCACGGAAAGGUCUUUGCGAAAUCUUUGUGGGAAGAUAAAUAGGGAUCACACCGAUGACGAUGUUAAGAAGACAGUGGAUGUGUUUGCAGAGAUUGGAGCUUGGCCUAUUUGUUGGGGUGAACAACCACUUUCAGAGUGUGAUAUUGGCUUUAGUGCUGGUUCAUGACGAGACGCAAGAGAGUUUUGAGUGGGUUUUUUCAGAAUUCCUGAGGAUGAUGGGUGGUUCUCCACCGGUCACAAUAUUGACAGAUCAAAAUCGAGUCAUGGAGCUUGCUAUCAAGAACAUUAUGCCGAACACGACACGCCGUUGGUGCAAAUGGCACGUGCUGAAGAAAGCAAAGGAGUCGUUGGGGGGCUCUGUACACCAAGAAAAGUGAUUUCAGGGCUGAAUUUUAUAAGGUUAUAAACCAUAUGUUGACGGAGGACGAAUUUGAGAAAGGUUGGGAGAUGCUGCUAGACAAAUACAAGCAAAAGAAUCAUCCAUACAUGACACAGCUAUUUGAGAUUAGGAAAAAAUGGCUAAGCCUUGUUUUAAGGGAGUUUUUUGUGCAAAAAUGGCUAGCACACAGAGGAGUGAGAGUGCAAACUAUAUGUUGAAGAACUACGUGCUGCACAAUGCACAUGUUUGUGCAGAAAUACAUGAGGCUGCAGUUCAUCCAGGAAUCGGAGGAGAACUACAAGGAAAAACGAACUCGAAUUGAGGGGAGCCCACUGAUGAGAGCAAACCUGGCAGUGAAGAGGCAUGCCAGCAAGAUAUAAACACGGGCCAUGUUUGAGCAAUUUGGGCAUAUAUUGUAUGAGUCUCGAGCUUAUCAGGUUGAGGAGAUUGAGAAGCACCAGACUUAUGUUGCAAUCCAUAGUGAAGCAGAAAAAAGAGAAAAAUGAUACGGAGUAUAAUACAAGGUUACUAUGCUAGAUGGUGGCAAUGAAUUCGACUGCGAAUGUGGGCAAUUUGCAGCCAUGUGUUGAAGGUUGGGCAAGGGAUCAGCAGGAGCACCUGGCCCGCCUGGGAGGAAGAAGAGGAGCUUUGCCAUCUUCUCCAAGCAGAUUCUUUCCAGCGACAAUGAAGAAGAUAAGACAAGAGGGACAGCUUGAAGAAUCUUGUGAUGGAAGGACACACAGGGUGGGUGGCAAUAAAUUAAAUGGUGGUGGGUGUUGCCGUCCGUUUCAUGGGUAACGUCUGUCGUAGCCCAAACGCGGCGCCCCAUCUCCGAAGCAGACGGCCGUUGCAUUAAAAGCGGUAGCUGGGUGGGCCACGGCCUGGGAAAAAGCGGCUCAUACAUGUUCAAAUACGGACUAAAAAUACAUGGGGCGAUGCGAAUCUCAGCAAUAGUUGACGGCUAAGAUAUGGAGUCCAUCUGAGCUCGAGCUCAGAAUAGGACUUUCCGGUGAUUCGGGUAAUCCUACCUUUUGCCUGGCCUGACGAUCUCGGGCCGGAGGCCAUGGUGGUGUG